rnacentral:rRNA from 1 species
GUGGGGAAUCUUCCGCAAUGGACGAAAGCCUGACCCAGCAACGCCGCGUGAAGGAAGAAGGUCUUCGGAUCGUAAACUUCUAUCCUUGGUGAAGAUAAUGACGGUAGCCGAGAAGGAAGCCCCGGCUAACUACGUGCCAGCAGCCGCGGUAAUACGUAGGGGGCAAGCGUUGUCCGGAAUGAUUGGGCGUAAAGGGCGCGUAGGCGGCCUGGUAAGUCUGGAGUGAAAGUCCUGCUUUUAAGGUGGGAAUUGCUUUGGAUACUGUCGGGCUUGAGUGCAGGAGAGGUAAGCGGAAUUCCCGGUGUAGCGGUGAAAUGCGUAGAGAUCGGGAGGAACACCAGUGGCGAAGGCGACUUACUGGACUGUAACUGACGCUGAGGCGCGAAAGUGUGGGGAGCAAACAGGAUUAGAUACCCCGGUAGUCC